GACGAACGCUGGCGGCGUGCUUAACACAUGCAAGUCGAACGGAAAGGCCCCCACUUUUUUGGUGGGGGUGCUCGAGUGGCGAACGGGUGAGUAACACGUGGGUGAUCUGCCCUGUACUUCGGGAUAAGCUUGGGAAACUGGGUCUAAUACCGGAUAGGACCAUGGUUUAGUGUCUCAUGGUGGAAAGAUUAUUGUUUUGGUGCAGGAUGAGCUCGCGGCCUAUCAGCUUGUUGGUGGGGUAAUGGCCUACCAAGGCGUCGACGGGUAGCCGGCCUGAGAGGGUGGACGGCCACAUUGGGACUGAGAUACGGCCCAGACUCCUACGGGAGGCAGCAGUGGGGAAUAUUGCACAAUGGGCGCAAGCCUGAUGCAGCGACGCCGCGUGGGGGAUGACGGCCUUCGGGUUGUAAACUCCUUUCGUUAGGGACGAAGCCACAUUUUUUUGGGUGUGGUGACGGUACCUUUGUUAAGAAGCACCGGCUAACUACGUGCCAGCAGCCGCGGUAAUACGUAGGGUGCGAGCGUUGUCCGGAAUUACUGGGCGUAAAGAGCUCGUAGGUGGUUUGUUGCGUCGUCUGUGAAAUUCCGGGGCUUAACUUCGGGGUGGCAGGCGAUACGGGCAUAACUAGAGUGCUGUAGGGGAGACUGGAAUUCCUGGUGUAGCGGUGGAAUGCGCAGAUAUCAGGAGGAACACCGAUGGCGAAGGCAGGUCUCUGGGCAGUAACUGACGCUGAGGAGCGAAAGCAUGGGGAGCGAACAGGAUUAGAUACCCUGGUAGUCCAUGCUGUAAACGGUGGGCGUUAGGUGUGGGGACCGGUUUGGUUUCUGUGCCGCAGCUAACGCAUUAAGCGCCCCGCCUGGGGAGUACGGCCGCAAGGCUAAAACUCAAAGGAAUUGACGGGGGCCCGCACAAGCGGCGGAGCAUGUGGAUUAAUUCGAUGCAACGCGAAGAACCUUACCUGGGUUUGACAUGCACCAGACGGUUGUAGAGAUACGUACCUCCCUUUGUGGUUGGUGUGCAGGUGGUGCAUGGUUGUCGUCAGCUCGUGUCGUGAGAUGUUGGGUUAAGUCCCGCAACGAGCGCAACCCUUGUCUUAUGUUGCCAGCACGUUUGGGUGGGGACUCAUGAGAGACUGCCGGGGUUAACUCGGAGGAAGGUGGGGAUGACGUCAAAUCAUCAUGCCCUUUAUGCCCAGGGCUUCACACAUGCUACAAUGGUUAGUACAACGCGCUGCGAACCUGUGAGGGUGAGCGAAUCGCUGAAAGCUAAUCUCAGUUCGGAUUGGGGUCUGCAACUCGACCCCAUGAAGUCGGAGUCGCUAGUAAUCGCAGAUCAGCAAUGCUGCGGUGAAUACGUUCCCGGGCCU
rnacentral:rRNA from 1 species